rnacentral:rRNA from 1 species
UACAGGGGGGGCGAGCGUUGUUCGGAAUUACUGGGCGUAAAGGGUUUGUAGGUGGCUUGCUCAGUCAGACGUGAAAUCCCUCAGCUUAACUGGGGAACUGCGUCUGAUACUAGCGAGCUUGAGUGCAGGAGAGGAACGCGGAAUUCCAGGUGUAGCGGUGAAAUGCGUAGAUAUCUGGAGGAACACCGGUGGCGAAGGCGGCGUCCUGGACUGCAACUGACACUGAAAAACGAAAGCCAGGGGAGCAAACGGG